AGCAUGGUGGUCUAGCGGUUAGAACGCUGGCCUUGUAAUCCUGGGGUCUCGGGUUCGAUUCCCGGCGGUGCCC
rnacentral:tRNA from 1 species